UACAGAGACUGCAAGCGUUAUUCGGAUUCACUGGGCGUAAAGGGCGCGCAGGCGGUUGGGCGUGUCAGAUGUGAAAUCCCGAGGCUCAACCUCGGAACUGCGUCUGAAACUACUCGACUAGAGUACUGGAGAGGGUAACGGAAUUCACGGUGUAGCAGUGAAAUGCGUAGAUAUCGGGAGGAACACCAGAGGCGAAGGCGGUUACCUGGACAGUUACUGACGCUCAGGCACGAAAGCAUGGGGAGCAAAAGGG
rnacentral:rRNA from 1 species